rnacentral:ncRNA from 1 species
GUUGAGUUUGAUGAUGGCUCUGAAUGAACGCUAUUCAAAUGCUUCGAUACAUGCUAAUCGAACGACUAGUCUUAGUUGCACCUAGCUUUACUUUUGCAUUGUCCAGGUGCUCUUUAACUAGUAGUGGUGUACAGGUGAGUAUAAGAUAAUCUAACUACCUAGGAGUAAGGAUUAAGAUCCCUUAUAUUAACAAAGAAGUAAAUCUUCGCUCGUAGACGUUGAUAUAUCUCGUGUGUGGUAGUAGUUAAGAUAACAGCCUAACUAGCUAAACGCACGUAGUCGUAACUGAGAGGUUGAUCGACCACAGUGGGCAUGAACAAAGCCCAUGACGAUUUUGAGUCACAGCAGUAAGGAAUUUUGGUCAAUAGCCUAACGGCUGAACCAGCAACUUGAAAGAAUGUAUAGGGGAAACCCUACUUGCAUCAUGAAAACUGAUGUAGGAUCCCUUUAGGGCAUAAAGUUCUAGCCAGUACUAUGAUAAUGACAUUUUCUGGCUAUGUGUCUUGACCAAAUUACGUGCCAGCUGUCGCGGUAAUACGUAGAAGACUAGUGUUAUUCAUGUUUAAUCGGUUUAAAGGGUACCUAGACGGCAGAUCAAGCCUUCAAUAAGGGACUAAUCUAGCUAGAGUUACUUAUGAGGAAGCUAUAAAGUACUGCUGGUGUAGAGAUGAAAUUCUGUCAUACCUCUUCUCUUAGUUAGGGAAACGACGGCACAGGUAAAGGCGAAGGCGUCUUCUUAUGGGAUAACUGACGUUGAGGGACGAAGGCUUAAUGUAGCAAACAGGAUUAGUUACCCUAAUAACCUAAGCAGAAAAUGAUGAAUGUCAUAGGUUAGGGCCUCUUAUCCUAUAAAUGAAAGUGUAAGCAUUCCACCUCAAGAGUAAUUUGGCAACAUUGGAACUGAAAUCAUUAGACCGUUUCUGAAAACAGUAGUGAGGUAUGUUAUUUACAAGCGUUGCACGGCUGUCUUCAGUUAAUGUCGCGAGACUAUGGUUAGUUCCAUUAAAUUAACGUAAACCCUUGCCCUAGUUUAUAUAUAAGGCAGUUCACCGCUAUAUUGGAUGUGAUAAUAGGGACUAAGACAAGUCAUCAUGGCCUAAUAUUGUGGGCUAUAGACGUGCUACGUAGGCCUAACAAAAGGGUGUGAAAUCGUGAGAUUGAGCUAAUCCCCCAAAUCUGGACAUAAACUGACAAUGGAUUGUAGUCUGUAACUCGACUGCAUGAAAAAGGAAUUACUAGUAAUCGUGUAUAAGUAUGGCACGGUGAAUCCAAUCUCAGAUAGGUACUAACCACUCGUCAGGCGCCGAAAGAAGUAUGUGCAAUAAGUUUGGCUACUGUCUAUUUAUAAUCCUUAUAUGGAUAACUUGGUCCAGAAACUUAGGCAGGAUGUCUUCGUAUGCGUGACUUUGAUUGGUGUUAAGUCGAAAUACGGUUCGUGUAGCGGAAGUUGCACGGGAUUAAUUAAUAUUAA